UGGGGAAUCUUCCGCAAUGGGCGAAAGCCUGACGGAGCAACGCCGCGUGAGUGAUGACGGCCUUCGGGUUGUAAAACUCUGUGAUCCGGGACGAAAAGGCAGAGUGCAAAGAACAAACUGCAUUGACGGUACCGGAAAAGCAAGCCACGGCUAACUACGUGCCAGCAGCCGCGGUAAUACGUAGGUGGCAAGCGUUGUCCGGAAUUAUUGGGCGUAAAGCGCGCGCAGGCGGCUUCCCAAGUCCCUCUUAAAAGUGCGGGGCUUAACCCCGUGAUGGGAAGGAAACUGGGAAGCUGGAGUAUCGGAGAGGAAAGUGGAAUUCCUAGUGUAGCGGUGAAAUGCGUAGAGAUUAGGAAGAACACCGGUGGCGAAGGCGACUUUCUGGACGAAAACUGACGCUGAGGCGCGAAAGCGUGGGGAGCAAACAGG
rnacentral:rRNA from 1 species